rnacentral:rRNA from 1 species
CGGAGGGUGCGAGCGUUGUCCGGAAUCACUGGGCGUAAAGGGCGCGUAGGCGGCCUGGUAAGUAGGGGGUGAAAUCCUGCGGCUUAACCGCAGGGCUGCCUUCUAAACUGUCAGGCUCGAGCACGGUAGAGGCAGAUGGAAUUCCCGGUGUAGCGGUGGAAUGCGUAGAGAUCGGGAAGAACAUCAGUGGCGAAGGCGGUCUACUGGGCCGUUGCUGACGCUGAGGCGCGACAGCGUGGGGAGCAAACAGGAUUAGAUACCCUGGUAGUCCACGCCGUAAACGAUGGGCACUAGGCGUCGGGGGGAGCGACCCUCCCGGUGCCGUCGCUAACGCAGUAAGUGCCCCGCCUGGGGAGUACGGCCGCAAGGCUG